rnacentral:lncRNA from 1 species
AACUCUCACCUUGGUGACCACAGUCUCCCAACAGUAACCACACAAACUGCCAAAACCUCUAGCAAAGGAUAGUCACAUACGACAAUUUAUAGUCCUACGUCCAAGACCUCACUUUUCACCUGACCCAAAAAGGUCCAACCGACAAUACCAAUUACGCUAGACAAUUUUGUCUCUUCAAUUGUAACCGAUACCAAUAAAACAACAUACCCACCAUGUAAGCCCAUUACUUGAUGCACAGGUCGCCAAUCGCAAAAGCGAUACUAACCAUCGGUGAUGCUCAACACCUGUCUCUACAAGACCCUGUCGCUGCCGUCCUACAAGGGACCCUAGCGAUCGAUGUUCCCGGCAACACCCGAUUACUUGUCUCAUUGAGACCUAGGCGCACCUGUCAUCAAAUGACCGGACAAGCAUACUAACCCAAGAUUUGCAUGAUAAGUCAAGUCGCAAACCUUUUACGUUAUCACAUAUGGUGGCAAUCAAAGCCAACAACCAGGUUCAAGUCACUCAACCACUGAUUCUAAACUUCAUGACAACAGACUGAGACUACUACCCAAGAAACUCUUAGCUGUAGAAAGCACAACAAUAGGACCAACGAUCACCUAGACUCGGACCAAAGUCAAAACCAUCAGAAGUGACGAAAAGUCAACUGCGCAAAAACCUGCCAAGGAGUAAUCCAAGGUUCGCCACAAGGUCAGAGGCUCAAGCGUUCUCAUAAACAACUAGGAAAAACACCGACCCAAUCAAAAAGUCCCAAACGGGAAGAUGGUAUUUCGUCCCUCUUUCGACAGUAUAUUGUCUGCAGCCAAUAUACUUAUCAAAAGAAAAGCGAAAUAUCCGAAGAUCCACUACCAACAAUAAGUUGGAAGCACAACGCGAUAAAGUAUCAAGCCACUUGAUACCUCUCCACUGAACCAGAAGCUCACAUCCAAUACUAUCAAAACAUCGACUUUACAAGUCGACACUCGAAAUUAGAACGACCCUGGAAUAUCUCUUUAUUGAACCCAUAAGUUCACCACUAAAAUCGUCGAAACUGCGACUUGCAAGUCGACGAUCGAAAACAGACCGGCCAUAAACCGACUCACUGGGAGUCGUAAAGCUUUCAACAUUCGAAAGCUACUAGCGACACUAAGCCGCGCACCGUACCAACUGAGGCUCUAGAAAACGGUUUCUCUAACCGAUUUUCACACCUCAACCGAGCUAUAAUCAAAGCUCCGAGAUUUCUAGCAAUACUUGGAGUAACUCGAGUCAAGACGGAUCCUACUAAACCAUCUACUAUCCCCUGACACCAAUUUAGGUGUUAGAACAAUCGCAUACGAUGUAUGCCUCAACGAAAACAUGACACCAAAACUGUGUCAAUCCGACUCUAGUAGGACGAAUGNAAGUCCGUGGUGUCGGUAAUCACCUUGUAAUCUUUUCUCUUAAUGGAUUAUUUUUUCGCGUGUUGGUCCUGUGGGUUUUUCUCCAAAUUGGAGUUUUCCCAUGUAAAUCUCAGUGUGAUUUUUAUUUUUCGCAUUUUUUUUUAUCACAUUGAGAUUUGUGGUUUUUGGCUAUUUCACCUAUUCACCCCCCUCUAGGUGAUAGAUACAAUCUAGAUAGAUCCUUGGGCUCCUCAAAACUUUCAAUUGGUAUCAGAGCGGGAUCUAGAUAAAUUGUUAUCUAAUGGCCGAAGGCGGAAACAUUAAUCGACCACCGCUCUUCGACGGCACAAAUUAUGCUUAUUGGAAAGUUCACAUGAGAGCUUUUCUAAUUGCAAUCGAUGAGCGCGUUUGGCAAUCAAUCGAAUUUGGAUGGAAAAAUCCUAUUGAAAAGGUCGAGAAUAUUGAAACGCCAAAACCACGGAACAAGUGGACGAAAGAAGAAAACGAGACAUCUUCGUUUAACGGCAAGGGCAUAAACGCUUUAUUUAAUGCAUUGUCUCAAACGGAGUUUAUUCGUGUUUCGGCAUGCGAAACGGCAAAGGAAAUUUGGGAUACUCUACAAGUUACGCAUGAAGGAACGAGCUUAGUAAAGGUCCAAAAAUUGCAAAUGCUAACAAGCAAGUUUGAUUCUAUUUCUAUGGAUGAAAACGAGACCUUUACCAAGUAUUAUACACGUCUACAAGACGUUGUGAAUACAUGUGCUAACUUAGGAGAGAAAAUCCCGGAUUCUAAAGUUGUUCGUAAAAUUCUUCGAACUCUUCCGGAGCGCUUUCGGGCAAAGGUUGCCGCGAUCGAAACGGUUAAGCAUCCGAACGAAAAGAGAGAAAAUCCCGGAUUCAAAGAUUAUUAGAAAGAUUCUUCGAACUCUUCCGGAACGCUUUCGGGCAAAGGUUGCCGCGAUCGAUACGGUUAAGCAUCCGGACGAGAUGAAAGUCGAAGAAUUAGUAGGUGCUUUGCAAACUUAUGAGAUGACUUUUCCUACCAAUCAAUUUUCUUCCAAGUCUUUCUCUAAAAGCACAGGGGUUGCGUUGAAAUCGACGAAAGAGGAAGACGGAGACUCGAAUUCCGAUGGAGAGAUCUCAAUUGCCGACUUCGAACAUCAAUUGGCGCUUCUACCAAAGAAGUUUCGUCGGAAUUUCCGAAAGAAGAACAAUUCGGACAAGGCUACAUCGUCUAAGCAGCAAACGUUUUCUAAAUCUUCUACAUCUAAAGAGAAGAAGCGUACAAAGGCUUCGAAAGAAAAGGAUGAAUUUGAAGGCGAAAUCCGAUGCUACAAGUGCAAAGGCUAUGGCCACAUCGCAACGGAUUGUCCCUUUGCAAGCAAAGACGUGGGAUGAUACAACUUCAAGUGAUUCAAGUUCAAGUGAUGAAGAAAAGAAUGGAAAUCUUGCUUUAUUUGCUAAAUCUACCUUGCCUUCGUCUAACAUUAUAUGUUUAUCCUCUAUUACUACUAAUUCCAAUAUGUCUCUUUCUUCACAUGAUUCUUCGAGCGACAAUGGCAAAAGUGAGGAGGAAUCAAACGACGACGACAUAGCGGAAGCGUACAAUCAACUUCUUAUUGAAUCAAAGAAGAUGGCCAAGCUUAAUAAGAAGUUGAGGCGUCGUUUGUUGAAUCUCGAAGAGGAUAACAACAACUUGAAGACCACGAACAAAGCUCUCAAGGAGGAAAGGGAAUCAAUUUUGAAAAAUAAUUCGGACCUCCAAGAGAAGUUUAAUGAAGCGGAAUCAACGAUCAAAUCAUCUAACGACAAGAUUGGAUUUUGGAACAUCAAUUUUAUGAAUCGCACAAGUCCAAUCAAGCCUUGAUCGACCAAGUUCGUCAACUCUAAACCGACAUUCAAAAGUUCUCAUCGGGAUCGAAGAAAUUGGACUAUAUGCUCGGGUUGGGUCAAACGGAUAAAUUAGGCCUCGGAUAUGAAACAGUUUUUGUUGAGAAUGAUUCUAAAUCAACUUCGAAAGUCUCAACAACUUUGAAAGUCAAGGCGUGUCAUCGUCGAGGGAGGUUGGCGAGGCACAGGGCUGGCAGCUUGUGGCCUGGGCGGCAGCAGCGGCAGCGGCGGCGCACGGCGACGGCGGCGGUCGGCGGGGGAGGUUGGUGAGGCACAGGGCGACGCCGGUGAAGGCCCUAUAGCCUCAGCCUGGGCUCCAACCCGAGAGAAAGAGAGAUAAAGGGAGAUGGAUGGAAGAGAGAGCUACAGGGAGAAGGAACCUCAUUCUCCGGCGACGGGCAGUGUGCGCCGGCGGCUGGGGCGCAAGCCGUGCACUCAGGGAAGGGAGGAAAGGCGGUUAGGUCGGUUAGGGUGAUGCGGCUAGGGCUAGGGUUAGGGUUCCAAAGCGAAAAGCUUAAAUACGAAGCUCCAAUUUGCAGAAAAGUCCCUCAAAACUCAACAUUUCAUUCCGAGUCCCUCAUAGCACGAGUAAAGUGCACGGAUACCCCUCCACGUCCGGUUUCACGCGAUUUGGUACAUAAAAUAUCGCAACUUUUGCGAAGUUUCCGACUUUGCCAAUUCAACCCCUCAGCGAACAUUUCGCGUUUCCUGAAAAUCCGUUCGUCGGAUUUUCGAUCCGACAGCACCAUUGCGUUCAGCACGUCGGGUGCAUCGAACCUAGCAUUUUGUUUCGUCUGAUUUGGUCUCCGAUCAGCGACAAAACCUGCCCUCUCUCCAACGAAUCCACAUGUCAUAUAUAGGCCUAGGUUGAAACCCGAAAUCCGUUAAUUCAAACUCGUAUUUGAAUUCNAUCGUCAACAGAGAGUUAAGUUACACUGUCAAAAUUUCAGUCCUUACAUUAUCCCCCCCUUAAAAGAAGUUUCGUCCCCGAAACUUGACCACAUACCCAUUGAAAUCGAAAUCGGAUAUUGCUUCCACCACUAUGGUAUUACCUUUGAGUAUUGGUCAAUUACAUUUUCAUGCAUUUGGACAGAUCAAUCUCCAAGUAAGGGAGGAAUAGGACUGCAGUUCUACUCGGACAACAACGAGGGAAAAACGUACCAACCCAAAAUCUACGAACCAAACUCAUCGGAAUCAAUACCAUCCUAUAACUUGCGGACAAAGACAGUCCCGCGAUUAUCAGAUCCCAAAUCGCCAAUUCUGAGAUAAUACAUCAACACCUAGAACUUCUAGGUCCACUCAACCUUGGUCCGCACACCAGUAACCGACUCGACUACGUCGAAGGUUCACGUAGAAGAGACUCGAGUCAACACUACUUUAAUCUAGAGUCUAUUUACGUAGACUUGAAACGAAAAACUCCGACUAUCCAACAACGUCAAUCUGCUCACCACGAGCGAAUACGAAACGUCGCUCUAAGACCUGAGUCAAAACUCUCACCUUGGUGACCACAGUCUCUCAACAGUAACCACACAAUUGCCAAAACCUCCAUCAAAGGAUAGUCACAUACGACAAUCUAUAGUCAUAGGUCCAAGACCUCACUUUUCCCCUGACCAAAAAGGUCCAACCGACAAUACCAAAUACGCUAGACAAUUUGUCUUCUCAAAUGUAACCGAUACCAUUAAACCAACAUACCCACCAUGUAAGUCCAAUACUUGAUGCACAGGUCGCCAAUCGCAAAGGCGAUACAAACCAUCGGUGAUGCUCAACACCUGUCUCUACAAGACCCUGUCGCUGCCGUCCUACAAGGGACCCUAGCGAUCGAUGUUCCCAGCAACCACCCGAUUACUUGUCUCAUUGAGACCCAGGCGCACCUGUCAUCAAAUAACCAGACAAGCAAGCUAACCCA